AUUGAACGCUAGCGGGAUGCUUUACACAUGCAAGUCGAACGGCAGCGCGGACUUCGGUCUGGCGGCGAGUGGCGAACGGGUGAGUAAUGUAUCGGAACGUGCCCAGUAGCGGGGGAUAACUACGCGAAAGCGUAGCUAAUACCGCAUACGCCCUACGGGGGAAAGCAGGGGAUCGUAAGACCUUGCACUAUUUGAGCGGCCUAUAUCGGAUUAGCUAGUUGGUGAGGUAACGGCUCACCAAGGCGACGAUCCGUAGCUGGGUUGAGAGGACGACCAGCCACACUGGGACUGAGACACGGCCCAGACUCCUACGGGAGGCAGCAGUGGGGAAUUUUGGACAAUGGGGGCAACCCUGAUCCAGCAAUCCCGCGUGUGCGAUGAAGGCCUUCGGGUUGUAAAGCACUUUUGGCAGGAAAGAAACGUCGCGGGCUAAUACCCCGUGGAACUGACGGUACCUGCAGAAUAAGCACCGGCUAACUACGUG
rnacentral:rRNA from 1 species